UACGUAGGGUGCAAGCGUUGUCCGGAUUUACUGGGCGUAAAGAGCGCGCAGGCGGUCGAUUUAGUCGCGUGUGAAAGCCCCCGGCUCAACUGGGGAGGGUCACGCGAUACUGAUCGACUCGAAGGCAGGAGAGGGUAGUGGAAUUCCCGGUGUAGUGGUGAAAUGCGUAGAUAUCGGGAGGAACACCAGUGGCGAAGGCGACUACCUGGCCUGUUCUUGACGCUGAGGCGCGAAAGCUAGGGGAGCAAACAGG
rnacentral:rRNA from 1 species